ACGGGCAGCAGACAGGGUAACCAGACAGGAGAAGAAGGGAAACGGGCAAGAGGUCAGCUUGGAUUGGCCGGGCACUUCUCGGAGGAGCAGAUAAAGGGUGGCUGCUUGGAAGGAUUCGUAUCCUUCCUCUUCCCCAGGAGUCAAGUCAAAGCGGAAGGUCUGGACGGAGAGAGUGAACCUUCCCCCCUCCACCCCAAGCUGGUUUUGGAAGAAAGAAGAGCAGAGACUUGGUUACCAUUUCUUGACAGCUUUGGAAAUGCAAGCCUAAGACGACCACAUGGGGAAGAGAAACUAUUUACAGAAAGCAAAUCUGACCAGGAAUGAGGUGUGCACAGUUGAAGAAAGACACAGGGGCAAUGAUGACACUAUUUAGGCUUAAAUUAUUUCAGGUUUAAUUGCCUUAUGACGUUCUAAUUAAAUACAAGCAGAGGUUUAAAAAAUUAGCUUACAAGCACCAAGCCAUGGGGACCUCUCCUAUGUACAAUAAAAGAGAGUGUCCAACUUCACUGCCCAAAAUCACAUGCGCUGACAUUUAAAAUGGAACCAAUAUGCUACACACAGCUGUGUAGGUUUCAGGCUUUGCUGCAGAAGUCUCCUGAAAUGGUUGGGGCCCAGAACUAGGAAUGAGAAGAUAGUAUUCUAUUUCAAGUUCUCAGAAAUCCAGUUAGCAACCUGCCACAACAGCAGAUCUCCCUUCUGUGCCUCUGUUUCCACAUCUAAAAAUCAGGCAGAAGGAACAGUCAAACUGAAACAGGCUGGAUGCUCAGUUUAGUAUUCUGUCUUCAAUGGUGGCCAGCAACACCUGAUGCCUCCCAGGAAAGUAUAGUAAACCCCCUUGAAGAUGUAUGUGAGACGAUCAACAUUCCUAUGAAAAAGACUCAUACCAAUUUCUAACUAGUAGGGAGUAGUACAAGACCUGAAAUGUGAGGUUUUACAUGCCUUCCAGUAUAGACUUU